ACCAAGGCCCAAAUGUGAAGAGGGAAACCUGAAUGAACUCCCUUUGCGAGUUCUUUUGUCCAGUGGAAAAAGCUCGGCGAAUAAGUGGUGGGUAAGACGGUUGCCAGCCGCCGCGGUAAUAACCGCGCCACAAGUGGUAGUCACGUUUAUUGGGCCUAAAGCGUCCGUAGCCGGUUUGAUGUGUCUUUGGUGAAAUCCUACAGUAAACUGUAGGGCUUGCUGGGGAUACUAUCAGGCUUGGAGCCGGGAGAGGUUGAGGGUACUUCAUGGGUAGGAGUAAAAUCCUUUAAUCCAUGAAAGACCACCUGUGGCGAAGGCGCUCAACUGGAACGGGCUCGACGGUGAGGGACGAAAGCUAGGGGAGCAACCGGGAUUAGAUACCCCGUUAGUCCUAGCUGUAAACUUUGCCCGCCUGGUGUUGCGGUUUCUUUGGGAAACUGUAGUGCUGUAGCGAAGGUGUUAAGCGGGCCGCCUGGGGAGUACGGUCGCAAGGCUGAAACUUAAGGGAAUUGGCGGGGGA
rnacentral:rRNA from 1 species